GUCAGUUGGCCCCUACUGGGAGGUGUCUCCCAGUUAGGAUACACGGGGGUCAGGGACCCACUUGAGGAGGCAGUCUGUCCACUCUCAGAGCUCAAACGCCAUGCUAGGAGAACUACUGCUCUCUUCAGAGCCGUCAUACAGGAAUGUUUAAGUCCGCACAAGUUUCUGCUGUCUUUUGUUCAGCUAUGCCCUGCCCCCGGAGGUGGAAUCUACAGAGGCAGCAGGCCUUGCUGAGCUGCAGUGGGCUCUGCCCAGUUCGAGCUUCCCUGGCUGCUUUGUUUAGUACUCAAGCCUCAGCAAUGGUUGAUGCCCCUCCCCCUGCCUGCUGCCUCACGGAUCGAUCUCAGACUGCUGUACUAGCAGUGAGCAAGGCUCCGAAGGUCUGGGACCCACCAAGCGAGUAGCAGGAUACAAUCUCCUGGUGUGCCAUUUGCUAAGAUUGUUGGAAAAGUGCAGUAUUUGGGUGGAAAUGUACCAUUUUUCCAGGUACAGUCUGUCAUGGCUUCCCUUGGCUAGGAAAGGGAAAUGCCUCGACCCCUUGUGCUUCCUGGGUGAGGCAAUGCCCCACCCUGCUUUGGCUCACCCUCUGUGGGCAGCACCUACUGUCCAACCAGUCCCAAUGAGAUGAACCAGGUAUCUCAGUUGGAAAUGCAGAAAUCACCCAUCUUCUGCAUCGAUCAUGCUGGGAGCUGCAGACCGGAGCUGUUCCUAUUCGGCCAUCUUGGAACGGAAUCUACCCCUCAGCUUCUUAAGUGACUGGAUUUUCUGUUUACUUUUGCUCAGAAG
rnacentral:lncRNA from 10 species